rnacentral:rRNA from 1 species
AGAGUUUGAUCCUGGCUCAGAAGGAACGCUGGCAGCGUGCAUAACACAUGCAAGUCGAACGAUGAAGCAUUCUUCGGAAUGUGGAAGAGUGGCGAACGGGUGAGGAACACGUAAGAAUCUGCCCCUCGGUCGGGGACAACUUUUGGAAACGAAAGCUAAUACCCGAUACGCUGUGGAGUGAAAGAAUUUCGCCGAGGGAUGAUCUUGCGUCUGAUUAGCUAGUUGGUGCGGUAAUGGCGCACCAAGGCGACGAUCAGUAGCUGGUCUGAGAGGAUGAACAGCCACAUUGGAACUGAGACACGGUCCAAACUCCUACGGGAGGCAGCAGUGGGGAAUUUUCCGCAAUGGACGAAAGUCUGACGGAGCGACGCUGCGUGAAGGAUGACGGCCUGCGGGUUGUAAACUUCUUUUCUCGAAGAAGAAGCUCUGACGGUAUUCGAGGAAUAAGCAUCGGCUAACUCCGUGCCAGCAGCCGCGGUAAGACGGAGGAUGCAAGUGUUAUUCGGAAUGAUUGGGCGUAAAGCGUCUGUAGGCUGUAUAGAAAGUCUUUUGUUAAAUACCUCGGCUCAACCGAGAUCCAGCAAAGGAAACUUCUAUACUUGAGGUAAGUAGAGGUACAGGGAAUUCCCGGUGGAGCGGUGAAAUGCGUAGAUAUCGGGAGGAACACCAAUAUGGCGAAGGCACUGUACUGGGCUUUACCUGACGCUCAGAGACGAAAGCUAAAGGAGUGAUUAGGAUUAGAUACCCUAGUAAUUUUAGCCGUAAACGAUGAAAACUCACUGCCGAGCGAAAUACAACGAGCGGUGGUCAAGCUAACGCGUGAAGUUUUCCGCCUGGGGAUUACGCUUGCAA